GACGAACGCUGGCGGCGUGCUUAACACAUGCAAGUCGAACGGAAAGGCCCUGCUUUUGUGGGGUGCUCGAGUGGCGAACUGGUGAGUAACACUUGAGUAACCUGCCCUUGACUUUGGGAUAACUUCAGGAAACUUGGUCUAAUACCUGAUAGGAUCUCCUGCUGCUUGGUGGGGGUUGGUUAGUUUCGGGGGUUGGGGAUGGACUCGCGGCUUAUCAGCUUGUUGGUUGGGUAGUGGCUUACCAAGGCUUUGACGGGUAGCCGGCCUGAGAGGGUGACCGGACACAUUGGGACUGAGAGACGGCACAGACUCCAACGGGAGGGAGCAGUGGGGAAUAUUGCACAAUGGGAGGAAGCAUGAUGCAGCAAAGCAGCGUGGGGGAUGACGGGAUUGGGGUAGUAAACAGAAUUAGCAUGUGACGAAGCGAGAGUGACGGUAAUGGGUAAAGAAGCACCGGCUAACUACGUG
rnacentral:rRNA from 1 species